CGUGCGAGAACCCCCUUCGGGGGGCGGACAGCGGCGAAAGGGAGAGUAACGCGUGGAUACCUACCCCGGGAUCCGGGAUAGCUGCGGGAAACUGCAGGUAAUACCGGAUAACGUCUCCGGACCAAAGGUGUGAUUCCGUCCUGGGAUGGGUCCGCGUCCUAUUAGCUUGUUGGUGGGGUAAUGGCCUACCAAGGCGACGAUGGGUACCGGGCGUGAGAGCGUGGCCCGGCUCACUGGGACUGAGACACUGCCCAGACACCUACGGGUGGCUGCAGUCGAGAAUCUUCGGCAAUGGACGCAAGUCUGACCGAGCGACGCCGCGUGCGGGAUGAAGGCCUUCGGGUUGUAAACCGCUGUCAGAGGGGAGGAAAUCCUGGGAGGCUAUCCUUUCAGGUUGACCCAUCCUCAGAGGAAGUACGGGCUAAGUUCGUGCCAGCAGCCGCGGUAAGACGAACCGUACGAACGUUAUUCGGAAUCACUGGGCUUAAAGGGUGCGUAGGCGGGUUUGAAGGUCUGAUGUGAAAGCCCACGGCUCAACCGUGGAAUUGCGUUGGAAACCACAAGCCUUGAGGGAGUCAGAGGUGAGCGGAACUCACGGUGGAGCGGUGAAAUGCGUUGAUAUCGUGAGGAACACCGGUGGCGAAAGCGGCUCACUGGGACUCUUCUGACGCUGAGGCACGAAAGCCAGGGGAGCGAACGGGAUUAGAUACCCUGGUA
rnacentral:rRNA from 1 species